ACCCGCUGAACUUAAGCAUAUAACUUAAGCGGAGGAAAAGAAACUAACAAGGAUUCCCCUAGUAACGGCGAGUGAAGCGGGAAGAGCUCAAGCUUAAAAUCUCUGUGCUAGUUUAGCAUGGCGAAUUGUAGUCUAUUGAGGCUGUUGUCAGCACGGCGACCUGGGACAAGUCCCUUGGAAGAGGGCAGCAUGGAGGGUGAUACUCCCGUCUCUGCUCAGGCCUGCCUGUGUGUACGAUACGCUUUCUUUGAGUCGAGUUGCUUGGGAAUGCAGCUCAAAGUAGGUGGUAAAUUCCAUCUAAAGCUAAAUAUAGGUGCGAGACCGAUAGCGAACAAGUACCGUGAGGGAAAGAUGAAAAGAACUUUGAAAAGAGAGUUAAAGAGUACCUGAAACUGUUGAAAGGGAACCGUAUCGUUUCCAGUGUCUGAUCCUUUGCAUAUUUCAUUGGCGGAUGGUAGUUUGUGGUGUGCAUGUGCUAGUAGUUUAUUCUGCAGCCUGCGUUCUACGUGCGAUUGUUUGCUGGUGCCCUGUGCGUUGGUGUGACGUCAGAGUCAGUUUGUAUGCUGCGGGAGAUGGUCACUGAGGAGGUAUUCCAGAUAUGUAUGUAUUUGGAUGUUAUAUCUUGGUGUACUAGUAGUCGUGGUUGAGACUGAGGUGCCUUACAACAUGCCUUGGGGGUCUCACGGUGUCUCGUUUAAUUGAUUGCUUGGAUAGCUUGCUAUGCUGGUGGUUACUUGAGCGAUUGAUGCUGUGUGCAACCUCUUGCUGUUCGGGACUUUGGCGAAAUGGAGCGAUACGACCCGUCUUGAAACACGGACCAAGGAGUCUAACAUGUGUGCAAGUAUUAGGGUGUGGAAACCCAAAUGCGUAAUGAAAGUAAAUGGUGACAUUAGUUACCUUUGGUAGGAAAGCAGCUAAAUUUUAUUUAGAUGCUGGCACUAUCGACCGAUCAUGAACCCACGUGGUGAAAGAUUUGAGUAUGAGCAUAUAUGUUGGUACCCGAAAGAUGGUGAACUAUGCGUGAAUAGGGUGAAGCCAGGGGAAACUCUGGUGGAAGCUCGUAGCGAUUCUGACGUGCAAAUCGAUCGUCAAAUUUGCGUAUAGGGGCGAAAGA
rnacentral:rRNA from 1 species